rnacentral:rRNA from 1 species
UACGUAGGGUGCAAGCGUUAUCCGGAAUUAUUGGACGUAAAGAGCUCGUAGGCGGUUUGUCGCGUCUGCUGUGAAAACUGGAGGCUCAACCUCCAGCCUGCAGUGGGUACGGGCAGACUAGAGUGCGGUAGGGGAGAUUGGAAUUCCUGGUGUAGCGGUGGAAUGCGCAGAUAUCAGGAGGAACACCAAUGGCGAAGGCGGUUGCCUGGAGCUUUGCUGACGCUGAUGCGCGAAAGCGUGGGGGAGCGAUCCGG